rnacentral:rRNA from 1 species
GUGGAUGCUAGCCCCCGAGACUAAGCCAUGCAUGCCGGUGAAGACGGGAACGGCGCACGGCUCAGUAGUGCCGCGACGAUCUGCCCCGCGCGCGCGCUAACCGCGGGAAACUGCGGCUAUGAGCGCGGGUUGAGACGCGGCCCCAUCAGCGAGUUGGGAGGGUAACGGCCUCCCAAGGCGGCGACGGGUGCGGGGGGUCGGGGCCCGGUUCCGGAGAGGGAGCCUGAGAGACGGCUCCCACGUCCAAGGACGGCAGCAGGCGCGGAAAUUGUCCACU